UACGGAGGGUGCGAGCGUUAAUCGGAAUUACUGGGCGUAAAGCGCGCGUAGGCGGUUUGGUCAGUUGGAUGUGAAAGCCCAGGGCUUAACCUUGGAACUGCAUUCAAUACUGCCAGGCUAGAGUACGAGAGAGGGGGGUAGAAUUCCUAGUGUAGCGGUGAAAUGCGUAGAUAUUAGGAGGAAUACCAGUGGCGAAGGCGGCCCCCUGGCUUGAUACUGACGCUGAGGCGCGAAGGCGUGGGGAGCAAACAGG
rnacentral:misc_RNA from 1 species